UUGGCUCACAUUUGUAGUACUGGUAACUAUAAAACGGAAAAAAUGUUGAGGUUGGAAAAAUAAUAGAUUCUAAAAACAGAGAUAUUGGAAUGUGUAAAAAUCCAUCAUGGCGAACACGUGUGGAAAAAACUUUUAAAAUCGUGUUUGAUUUAGAUCUACCAGUGAUGAUCAUAGCACUAGGCCUAGCAGGUGGGGCUGGACUAAGAAUUGGGUUAUUUCCAUGAUGGUAUGACAGUAGACAAUAAUUGUAAAGUAAUUCUAAAGGACUGUUAAACAUUUCCUUUUAAACAUAAACUCAAAGAUUGAAGGAUGACAUCUCUAGAACCAAAACCAGCCAAAAAGAAGCAGAGAAAAAGAGAUCUCAAAUUUCCUGAAGAUCAGUCAACAAAAAAAGAAACAUUUACUUUGGAUGUUGAUAAGAUCAUUAGGACUAAAAACUUCAGUAGGGGACCAGAUAUAAAAAAGAAUUAUACUUUUAGUGGUGAGAAAGGACAUCGUAAGAAGGAUAAAGGUGUUAAGAAUGUUUUACCAAAUAAAAGUUCACAGACUCAAAUAUUAAAAGGAAAGGGUUUGAAAAACCAGACAGGGAGAUUACAAGGAACACAACAGAAACAUGGCAAACCGAUAAAGAGCAGAUUUCAAGACCGAAAGACUGACCCCUAUCCUGGUGAUGCUCCUAUCCCAAUCCAGAGGCUACAGAAAUACAAAAGAGGCGAGGAUAAAUAUCUGGGAGAUAUGAAGAACCAAUUUGAAACAAAAAAGCUUAAAUUCAGGGAAAAGAAGAUUUCAGAUGCAGUUAAACAGGCAGCAAGGACAGAGACAUUACUCAAUGAACAGCCAGGGUUCUUGGAGGUGGGGGCUGAUGAAGACAUUACGACAAUUACACAGCAUGACAUCUCAAAUGCAGUUGACAUCACCAGUGCACAGAAGUACUUUGAGUUAAAGCUUAAGCAAUUUGGUCCCUAUAGAGCUAAUUAUAGUAGGAAUGGAAGAUACCUCCUAAUGGCUGGCAACUUGGGCCAUGUGGCUGCUAUGGACUGGCAGACCAAGAAACUCAUGUGUGAAUUCAAUGCAAUGGAGGCAGUCACAGAUGCCAAAUGGCUGCACAUAGAGACAAUGCUAGCUGUUUCUCAGAAGCAAUGGACAUACAUAUACGACAACCAAGGUUUAGAGCUACAUUGCCUUAAAGUCAUGGACAGUGUUCUGAAACUAGAAUUCCUGCCGUAUCACUUUCUGCUUGUUGGAGCUAAUGCCAGGGGCUAUCUCAGCUGGUUAGAUGUAAGUAUUGGCCAAAAGGUUGCAGGCUUCCAGACCAGUAUGGGACGCUUGGACGUCAUGUGCCAGAAUCCAGCUAAUGCAAUAAUACAUCUGGGACACACAGGAGGGACUGUAACAUUGUGGUCUCCUAACAUCAAAGAGCCUCUAGUGAAGAUGCUAUGUCAUGGUGGAGCAGUUAGGGCUGUAGAUGUGGACCAUACUGGCACGUAUAUGGCUACAUCAGGGGUAGACAGGAAGCUCAAAAUAUGGGAUCUGCGCAUGUAUAAGUCAGUACAUGAGUACAGGAUAGGUGGCGGUGCUGGUCAACUCUCCUUCAGUCAACGUGGGCUCCUAGCUGCUGGUAUAGGAAGUGUUGUAGAGGUUUACCAAGAUCCAUGCAGAAAUGUUGUUGAGUCUCCAUAUUUGCGCCAUCAGUGUCCUCGUACUGUGGCAUCCACACAGUUCUGUCCUUAUGAGGAUGUUCUAGGGGUGGGCCAUGGUGGUGGUUUUUCUAGUCUUCUAAUACCUGGUGCUGGAGAGCCAAACUUUGAUGCUUUAGAAGCAAACCCAUUCCAGAGCAAGAAACAGAGACGUAAUGCAGAGGUCCAGAUGUUACUGCAAAAGAUUCAACCAGACAUGAUCACAGUGGACACAAGUGCACUGGGGAAAGUUGAUGUCAAGACUUACGCAGAGAAAAUUGAGGAAAGAAAUAAACUACUGUUCCUGAAACCAGAAACAAUAGAGUUUGAACCUAGACAUAAGAAAAAAGGCCGUAGCAAAACUGGGCAUCACGAGAACAGAAAGCAGGGAUACAAGGAAGAAAUGAAGAGAGAGUUUAUUAAAGACAGAGUGCAGGAAAAACUAGAUGAAGCAACAAGAAAGCGAGAAGAGAAGAAAAACAGAGACACUGAGCAGGGUAAACCUAAAGGCGGAGCCCUCAGUAGGUUUGCUAAAAGCUGAAAUGAAGAUACUGAUAAUAAAUAGAAAUGAGAUUUACAAAAAAUGAAUAAUAUGGUGGAAUAGAAUGUACAUGUAUAUGGAAUCUAAACAAACUCCAUUUUUGAAAUAAAAAGCAAAAUAAGAUGCUGUUUAAAACAUAUUAUGUUGUUUAUCUAUUUCAAGGUCACUACAGUAUGAUACACAGUAAAACCUGAACAUAAUGAACACCUAUGGUUCCACAAAAAGUGUUCACUGUAAGGAGGUGUUCAAUACAGAGAAGGGAUUUUAUACAGGAGUCAUUGUAAAAUGUUUGUUGAAGUGGUAUUUACCAAAUGCAUGUGUUCACUAGGGAGAGGUAUUCACUUAAGACAGGUUUUACUGUAUCGCAACAUGUACCAUUAUGUGU
rnacentral:misc_RNA from 1 species